rnacentral:rRNA from 1 species
ACCUGUUAGGUUCUUCGUUGGUGACCAGCGGAGGGAUCAUUACCGAGUUUACAACUCCCAAACCCCUGUGAACAUACCAUUUGUUGCCUCGGCGGUGCCUGCUUCGGCAGCCCGCCAGAGGACCCAAACCCUUGAUUUUAUACAGUAUCUUCUGAGUAAAUGAUUAAAUAAAUCAAAACUUUCAACAACGGAUCUCUUGGUUCUGGCAUCGAUGAAGAACGCAGCGAAAUGCGAUAAGUAAUGUGAAUUGCAGAAUUCAGUGAAUCAUCGAAUCUUUGAACGCACAUUGCGCCCGCCAGUAUUCUGGCGGGCAUGCCUGUUCGAGCGUCAUUUCAACCCUCAAGCCCCCGGGCUUGGUGUUGGAGAUCGGCGUGCCCCCCCGGGGCGCGCCGGCUCCCAAAUAUAGUGGCGGUCUCGCUGUAGCUUCCUCUGCGUAGUAGCACACCUCGCACUGGAAAACAGCGUGGCCACGCCGUUAAACCCCCCACUUCUGAAAGGUUGACCUCGGAUCAGGUAGGAAUACCCGCUGAACUUAAGCAUAUCAAUAAGCGGAGGAA